GCCAACCAUAUGCUUUUGUCUCUUCUUUUGAAGGCUUCUGGCUCUGCAUGUCCAGCCCCAUGCAGUCUACUAGGAGCAAGGAACCCUGAGGUGGAUGACAGGCAGCACUCUGACCAACUCUGAGGACCAGUCCCCUUGGACAGCACCAAGUCCUGCUCAUCUCUGUGCAGCUGACUUUGGUGAUCCUAAUUUUUUCCCUCUGGCUGAAACAACAGUCUUUGAGCUCAACCCCUGGGCCUAGAACUGGGCUGCAGUGUGUUCCCCUGUCCCGGCCACAUCUUAGACAAGUCUCCUGGAUCCACCCAAAGUCUCAGCAGACCCUUGCACCCUGGCAUAGUGGCAGAGUUUUUAGAUUAGGUCUUGUAACUCCAGGGUGCCAUCAGCAGCUUCUAUCCACUGUACCUUCAAAAACAACUGUGGCCUGCCCCUCAGCAGCCCACCAUUCAGGUCAAUUCCACUUCCUGCUGGUCAGCAAGGCAAGACCAUGUGAGUGUGUCGACCCUCUGUCCCAAGUGCUCUGUGAGGUCUGUGUUCUAAAGAUGGCAAGUGACUGCUGACCAGGAGGGCUGCCUGAGCAGAUCUCUCCAAGAAGCUCAGAGAACUCAAGAGAGUCAGUGUCUACCUCUACCACAGAGCACAGCAGAGACCCACUGGGUCAUGCUCCAGGGAGGCUGUCAUCAUAGAAUCCAUUGGCAACAAGAAAGCUGUGAGUGGGUGAGCUCAGGGAGGCUUUUUGGACUCCAUGUGGUGACUACAGGUCACUUUCGCUUGUUCCCACCCUGAAGUUAAGAUGGCCACAGCAUUCACGAGCAACUGAAUGUCUGAGUUCUGCUCACUGAAGUCUACUGAGGAAUCCCCAGCACCAACUCUGUACUUCAGUGAGAGACAUUGUGAAUAACCACCUGGGAACAAACAAAAUGUUCAGAACCUUCUAGAUGUCUUGAGAUGGGUCCUGGGGCAACUAAGAACACUCCAGCAAAGUCCUGGGAUUCUAAUUACAGAAAUGCAUUCAACUGCAGCCAGAGAUGUCCUACAAGUCCAAGGCACUCCGUUCCUCAGCACCUCAGCUGCCGUGUCAGGCGGGCCUUGUCCUGCAGAAGAGCUCUGACCAGCAUGGCCGCUGCUGAGCCUUACUUAGAGCAGAGAGCACCACUAGGGCCUGACAACAAGCGAGUGAGUGAGAGCUCUGAGCUGGAUUGUAUCCAUUCCUUCUGCUUCCUCCCAGCCAAGAGAAAAGGCGGAAGCCACCUCGAGAAGAGUCAGAAGUAGCCCUGGGCUGGGUCCAGGACUCUUCUGUUUGGGGAGACCAGUGGGUUAGACUUGACUAGCUGCCGCCUUCUGUUCUUGGAAGUCUGCAGCUCCAGAGCACGAAUGUGCUCCUUUCCUCCUGACCUUGGAUCCAUCAUCAAGACAAUGAUUUCCUGAGCCAAUAAGUUGGGACAUCAAGAUGCCCUGAAAAGGAAGGCAGAACAAGGGCCCUAGGAAGAAAGGCCAUGUACCCUGACUCAAGGGAAAGAUGCUCUGUGGCUCUUAGGGAAGACUCAGGGGAAUGGGUUCACCUCUGGGGUGGACCCCAGGUAUAGUGCAAACAAGGAGACUGGCCUGUGUGCCACAUUUAUCUUUAGACCAAGAGAUGGUGCCCACCUUCAGCCUACCCUUUCCAGUGCCGAGUGGGUGUUGGAUGUGGGUGUCCUGUGGAGUCGGAUGUUUGUUUUCUCCUGGUUCCUUCUCAAGGAAGACAUGUGGAUUGACCUCCUGACUCAAAUCCUGUAGGGCUGAUGUUUUCAUGUGGCAGCUCCCAGCCAGCACCUAGGUGAGGCUGUUUCCCUGCGUCUGGGCCUGCAGCCAUUUGACUUUGGACCUGCACAGGGUUCCUGGCACCUGCGUGCUGGUGGCACCCAGCUGAUCUGUCCACACCUCACCUCGGCCACAUCAUGAUCUGGUGUGUGUCCUAAUGCCUCAUCUCUAUACUGCAGUGAGUGGUGCCAUCCUCCUACAGCCACAGCCGUGGCCUGGUGUGUUGUAGCAGACGCUGUCCCCAGUCUGGUGUUUCUGUUUGACAUUUGUUAAUGCUUGCGUCCAUGUAGUACCCUGGUGCUGUGUCAGUGUUGUGCACAUUGGACCAGACAUUCUGCUUUGUUGUGCACUUGGUGACUUCCUUCAUACGUGACUCCUCUGCUCCAUGGACAGCGGCACUGAUGCUCCAUGUUGCCUUCCAGUUGCUGCCAUGGUGCUGUGAGCAGAUGCUGUUGGUGCUGCUACUGGACAUCUAUUUUCUCAUAAAAGUAAAUGUGUUUCCAACU
rnacentral:lncRNA from 1 species